rnacentral:rRNA from 1 species
GUGAAACUGCGAAUGGCUCAUUAAAUCAGUUAUCGUUUAUUUGAUAGUUCCUUUACUACAUGGAUAACCGUGGUAAUUCUAGAGCUAAUACAUGUUAUAAAUCCCCGACUUCUGGAAGGGGUGUAUUUAUUAGAUAAAAAAUCAAUGCCUUCGGGCUCUUUGAUGAUUCAUAAUAACUUUUCGAAGCUCAUGGCCUUGUGCUGGAGCUGGUUCAUUCAAAUUUCUGCCCUAUCAACUUUCGAUGGUAGGAUAGUGGCCUACCAUGGUUUUCACGGGUAACGGGGAAUAAGGGUUCGAUUCCGGAGAGGGAGCCUGAGAAACGGCUACCACAUCCAAGGAAGGCAGCAGGCGCGCAAAUUACCCAAUCCUGAUACAGGGAGGUAGUGACAAUAUAUAACGAUACAGGGCCCUUUUGGGUCUUGUAAUUGGAAUGAGUACAAUGUAAAUACCUUAACGAGGAACAAUUGGAGGGCAAGUCUGGUGCCAGCAGCCGCGGUAAUUCCAGCUCCAAUAGCGUAUAUUAAAGUUGUUGCAGUUAAAAAGCUCGUAGUUGAACCUUGGGCCUGGUUGGCCGGUCUGCCUUUUUGGCACGUACUGGAUUCAACCGGGCCUUUCCUUCUGGCUAACCUUCACUUCUGUGUUGGCAAACCAGGACUUUUACUUUGAAAAAAUUAGAGUGUUCAAAGCAGGCCUUUGCUCGAAUAUAUUAGCAUGGAAUAAUAAAAUAGGACGUUAUGGUUCUAUUUUGUUGGUUUCUAGGACCAUCGUAAUGAUUAAUAGGGACGGUCGGGGGCAUCAGUAUUCAGUUGUCAGAGGUGAAAUUCUUGGAUUUACUGAAGACUAACUACUGCGAAAGCAUUUGCCAAGGACGUUUUCAUUAAUCAAGAACGAAAGUUAGGGGAUCGAAGAUGAUCAGAUACCGUCGUAGUCUUAACCAUAAACUAUGCCGACUAGGGAUCGGGUGGUGUUUCUUUUUUGACCCACUCGGCA